CCGGGCUGGUCUCCGACCUCUGGGCUGCAAGGAUUUGCAGCUAGUGUUUCCUCAAGGAUACAGUUUAUAUUCACUGGACAGCUUUGUCUUCUGGGCUGAUUAUUUUAUAUUUCAGGUGACAUGGUUCCGAUGAGGUCGUUUUGGCUAAACUCCUUGUCUCUUUACUGUUGCUAUUAGGAUUAUAUGUAUCACGUGGUGAGCGCCAUCUGUGAGUGGACCGUGGCUUUUGGUUUUAUUUUCUAUUUCCUAACAUUCAUCCAAGAUUUCCAGAGUGUCACCCUAAGGAUAUCCACAGAAAUCAAUGAUGACUUUUGAAAGAGCGAGAAUCCUGUCUCACUCAGGGAGUGUCACAGACAGUUUCUGGAAGUGGACAGAGGAUGGACGGGCUUGGAUGUCACCCUGAUCGGGACAUAUCUGUGGCACAUCCGGGACUUGAAUUUCAUUAAGAAUUCCUAGUAGUUGUUCAAUUUACAAAGGUAUGUUUCCCCGGAGAAUGGACAGCACCGACGACACUGUAGCAAUAUUUCUAUAUUUUCUAAGACAAUCUUUUACGAACAGGUUCAUUUGCAGAGAAGACAAGGCAUUACGGAGAGUGGAGGAUUAUUCUUGUAUAGAUUCUUUAGGCUUUUUAUGUAAGAAUGAUUUAUGAAAAUACACUAAGAGAAAAAAUGCUGAGUUUAGUACUUUUUAUUAAAGAAGACAAAUCAGGGGAUAUUCAUUUUAAAAUUUCAUUUUUUUAAAUAUAAUGACCUGCAUACAUUUUCAUCACAAGAGCAUUUAAACAAUUCAAUCCAUAGUGAUCAUAUACCCUAAUGGUACAGAUUUAGGUAAUAAAUGGACACUCGAAGCACUCUGA